rnacentral:rRNA from 1 species
AACGGAUAAGACGCGCAAGGAUAAGACAUGCAAGUCGAACGUAAUWUCAUAGCAAUAUAAAUUCAGUGGCGGACGUGACAGUAACACGUGAACAAUUAAACCGGAAGAGAGGGAUAGCCCAGGGAAACGWGGACUAAUMCYGUAUGUGAGGGGGCGUGGGCAUCCCCUGACAAUGAAACGCGCCAUGCCGUGMGGCUUCMGGAUGAGUUCGCGGCCUAUCAGSUAGUUGGYGRGGUAACGGCCCACCAAGSCUAMGACGGGUAGCUGGUCUGAGAGGAYGACCAGCCACACUGGAACUGAGACACGGUCCAGACACCUACGGGUGGCAGCAGUCGAGAAUCAUUCWCAAUGGGGGAAASCCUGAWGGWGUGACGCCGCGUGGAGGAUGACGGUCUUCGGAUUGUAAACUCCUGUCAAGUGAGAGUAAGCCUUGGGGUUAAACGCAUCCAAAUUUGAGAGUAUCAAAAGAGGAAGAGACGGCUAACUCUGUG